CCAUUGUGUCAUACCAAUUUAUCAUCGCAACGCGCAAAACGUCAAAACAAAUAUGCGAAAACGUUUGAAAACUGUUUUUUGAAUACUGGUAAAGCGUUUGAGGUUUCCAUUUAGUAUUAUGACUAGGGUAUUGAGAUGGGUAUUAAAAAUUAAUGAAUAAUACAAGCAGAUUAAAGCAGUUGAUAAAUCAUGAAUUCCUGAGAGUUCUUCAUAUCAUUUGUGCUUUCAAUUGACGCGACCUUGUUGUCGAUCCGAUGACACGUUAGGGGGUCACAAAGGGAAUAAAAUGACUAGGUCAUUGAGACUGCAACUUGUAUAGACUGCCAUUAAAUAGCCAUUCUCUUUCACAGGAACGAGACCUAGAAAAGGCGGGAAAGAGCCACGUAUCAAAGAAAAGGAUUUGUGUUGCAUGAUUUGAAGACAGAUUGUAUACAUCAUGAAAAUUUUACCCAAAUUGCUUCAAGUUGUACCGCUGUUGCUUUUGAGCGAAAUUUACGCAG